UUAACUCAAAUUUGUGUGGAAAUAGAACGCUUGCCUACGUUUGCCGCUAGGGGCGCUGUUCCAACUUCAUACAAAUUUGAGUUA
rfam:Bombyx mori DNA, contig: Bm_scaf275_contig42214, strain: p50T/Dazao, build 2, whole genome shotgun sequence.